rnacentral:ncRNA from 1 species
AAAGACUUAGUCCUAACCUUGCCGUUAAUUCUUGCUAGACAUAUACAUGCAAGUAUCUGCGCCCCAGUGUGAAUGCCCUUCGUUCCUUACUAAGUUGCAAGGAGCAGGUAUCAGGCACACCUAUAAUGGUAGCCCAAAACACCUUGCUUGGCCACACCCCCACGGGUACUCAGCAGUAAUUAACCUUAAGCAAUAAGUGUAAGCUUGACUUAGCCAUAGCAACUCAGGGUCGGUAAAUCUUGUGCCAGCCACCGCGGUCACACAAGAGACCCAAAUUAACUGCAAACACGGUGUAAAGAGUGGUACCAUGCUAUCUCAGCAACUAUGAUCGAAAUGCAACUGAGCUGUCAUAAGCUUAAGCUGCACUUAAGCCCCCCGUCAAAAUGAUCCUAGUGUUCAUGACCAAUUAAACACCACGAAAGCUAAGGUACAAACUGGGAUUAGAUACCCCACUAUGCUUAGCCCUAAAUCUUGGUACUUACCCCACCAAAGUACCCACCUGAGAACUACGAGCACAAACGCUUAAAACUCUAAGGACUUGGCGGUGUCCCAAACCCGCCUAGAGGAGCCUGUUCUAUAAUCGAUGAUCCACGAUACACCUAACCUCCCCUCGCCAGGGUCAGCCUACAUACCGCCGUCGCCAGCUCACCUUCCCUGACAGCAUAAUAGUGAGCAUAAUAGCCCUAAUCCCGCUAACAAGACAGGUCAAGGUAUAGCCCAUGAGGAGGAAAGAAAUGGGCUACACUUUCUAACAUAGAAAACUAACGGAAGGGGAUUAUGAAAUUAUCCCUAGAAGGUGGAUUUAGCAGUAAAGCAGGACAAUAGUGCCUUCUUUAAACCGGCUCUGGGACACGUACAUACCGCCCGUCACCCUCCUCAUAAGCUACCACUUCAAAUAACUAAUACACUCACUAGCCAAAGACGAGGUAAGUCGUAACAAGGUAAGUGUACCGGAAGGUGCACUUAGUAUA